rnacentral:rRNA from 1 species
CCUACGGGAGGCAGCAGUGGGGAAUAUUGCACAAUGGGCGAAAGCCUGAUGCAGCGACGCCGCGUGAGGGAUGACGGCCUUCGGGUUGUAAACCUCUUUCAGCAGGGAAGAAGCGAAAGUGACGGUACCUGCAGAAGAAGCGCCGGCUAACUACGUGCCAGCAGCCGCGGUAAUACGUAGGGCGCAAGCGUUGUCCGGAAUUAUUGGGCGUAAAGAGCUCGUAGGCGGCUUGUCACGUCGGAUGUGAAAGCCCGAGGCUUAACCUCGGGUCUGCAUUCGAUACGGGCUAGCUAGAGUGUGGUAGGGGAGAUCGGAAUUCCUGGUGUAGCGGUGAAAUGGCGCAGAUAUCAGGAGGAACACCGGUGGCGAAGGCGGAUCUCUGGGCCAUUACUGACGCUGAGGAGCGAAAGCGUGGGGAGCGAACAGGAUUAGAUACCCUGGUAGUCCACGCCGUAAACGUUGGGAAACUAGGUGUUGGCGACAUUCCACGUCGUCGGUGCCGCAGCUAACGCAUUAAGUUCCCGCCUGGGAGUCGGCCGCAAGGCUAAAACUCAAAUGAAAUUGACGG